rnacentral:misc_RNA from 1 species
AAAGCUUGUAGGAUUUCAGCAUCCAGCAUCCACAAUUUUGUAUUCUUGAAAUGCAAUGUUGGUCUAAUCUUUGGGUUUAAGUGGCCUUUCUUGUUCCGUAUUUUGAUGACUGGAAGUGGAGAAUGGCAAUGAAGGCAAUGGGGCUCAGCACUUUUUUUUUUUAUCACUGUUGAGAAUCAGAACCUGCCGAUGCAUUCAAUUGGUUGUCAAUGGGAGUGCCGAGAGAUGGAUGCUUCGAUGGUUUUGAUCACUGCCAAGAAUCAGUAUGAGCAAGAUUGAUUGCUGGAGAAGCUGAAGAAAAUCUGAUAGUUGAUGUGCACGUGGAUUUGGAGCUGAGAGUGAAGACCGACGAGUGACAACGAACGCGAGAGAUCUAUGGCAUUAGAGAAAACAAGAGACAAAAUUGAAAAAUGAGAGAAAACAGAGCACAAAAAACAAACGAGGGAGGGAGAAGUAAGGUAACU